rnacentral:tRNA from 1 species
AUCUUUCUAGUAUUAAUCUAAUACAAGUGACUUCCAAUUAUUUAAUCCUGGUUAAAAUCCAGGGAAAGAUA